rnacentral:rRNA from 1 species
GACGAACGCUGGCGGCGUGCCUAAUACAUGCAAGUCGAGCGGAUGGAAGGAAGCUUGCUUCCUAAAGUCAGCGGCGGACGGGUGAGUAACACGUGGGCAACCUGCCCCUAAGAUCGGGAUAACUUCGGGAAACCGGAGCUAAUACCGGAUAUGAUUAUGUCUCACAUGAGACAUAAUGGAAAGACGGUUUCGGCUGUCACUUAGGGAUGGGCCCGCGGCGCAUUAGCUAGUUGGUGAGGUAACGGCUCACCAAGGCGACGAUGCGUAGCCGAGCUGAGAGGGUGAUCGGCCACACUGGGACUGAGACACGGCCCAGACUCCUACGGGAGGCAGCAGUAGGGAAUCUUCCGCAAUGGACGAAAGUCUGACGGAGCAACGCCGCGUGAGUGAAGAAGGUUUUCGGAUCGUAAAACUCUGUUGUUAGGGAAGAACAAGUACCAUAGUAACUGAUGGUACCUUGACGGUACCUAACCAGAAAGCCACGGCUAACUACGUGCCAGCCGCCGCCGUAA